CUCGUAGGUGGCCGCCUCAGUCCGACGUGAAAUCCCUCGGCUCAACCGGGGAACUGCGUCGGAUACUGGGUGGCUUGAAUCCGGGAGAGGGACGUGGAAUUCCAGGUGUAGCGGUGAAAUGCGUAGAUAUCUGGAGGAACACCGGUGGCGAAGGCGGCGUCCUGGACCGGUAUUGACACUGAGGAGCGAAAGCCAGGGGAGCAAACGG
rnacentral:rRNA from 1 species